rnacentral:rRNA from 1 species
CAGCAGCCGCGGGAAUACGAGGGGGGCAAGCGUUGUUCGGAAUUAUUGGGCGUAAAGGGUGCGUAGGCGGCUUGACAAGUCUUAUGUGAAAUCUCUGGGCUCAACCCAGAGUCUGCAUGGGAAACUGUCGGGCUUGAGUAUGGGAGAGGUGAGUGGAAUUUCCGGUGUAGCGGUGAAAUGCGUAGAUAUCGGAAGGAACACCUGUGGCGAAAGCGGCUCACUGGACCAUAACUGACGCUGAGGCGCGAAAGCUAGGGGAGCAAACAGGAUUAGAGACCCCUGUAGUCCCUGUCUCUUAUAC